GGGGAGAAGGGAGUAACAGCCUCACUGUGCUUCAGGCUUUUCCUUGCUGGUUCAAGUGUCCGCUGAAAGCAGCUAACAUAAUCAGUACAGCUUCUCUGUUUUGGGAAAUCAAACCCCAAAUCUUUAAUUUGAUUUAAAAAGCUUUCCAGGAUCUUGCCUUUGCCUCCCUUUCCAAUCUUGCCGCUCGGCAGUUAUUUCUGCUAGAAAAUAGGUAUUUCCCUCUCAGUGUCUCCAAAUGUGAAAGAAAAAUCAUCGUCAUCAAUAGUCGGGUAUAAGAGAGGCAGCCUUCUCCGGAAGGGGACCAGUGAGCAGGCAGUUCACAGAGCAGAAGGGAGGGUGGAUCUCCAGGGACCGUCACUGGCUUCAAGUCUCGCUUCUGUUGCUUCCUGGCUGUGUGUCCCUGGGCAUGUCACUCAACUCCUGUGCUCCAGUUUCCUCAGCCUCGCAAUGGGCCAUUGUACAGACUAAACGAGUAAACGCACAUAAAGCACCUGGAGCCGUGCCAGGCCCGAUGUGAGCAUUUGGGCCUCAUCGACUCAUGUGAUUAGUCCUGGUAGGCCCGGCGCAGGGAACCAAGCCUGUCAAUUUAAAGGGGAGUGGCAGGAAGAACUCAUUUUUAAUGACAGGCAAAAAGGGAAAAUAUUGUAAUACAUGGCUUCCUAUUUUCCUUUUCCCUUUUUCUUGCCUUUGAAUUUAUAAUGUUGCUUAUUUGGUAUUUAAGAUUCUUGCUCUGGAGCUUCGAACAUUUUGAAAGAAAAAGUAGUGUCAUUUAAUAAAUGCUGUCAUUUGACGCUCUGGUUACUAUUUUAGGGCAGCAUGGUAGGUAGAUACUGCUAGUUACUUACCCAAUAUCCAUUUUUCUUUAUUACUUGCAGGAUUGCCAGGUUUAGAAAAUGAAAACGCAAAACUCCAAGUUAAAUUUGAAUUUAAGUAGACAAUGAAUACUUUUUUGGUGGAUGUUCCAAUAUUGCAUGGGCAAUUUAACUAGGUGUCCUGUAUUUUAUCUGGCUCAACUUUGUUUAGACAGCAGGGUGCACAGCUGAAAAGAUAACUUGUAUAACAUCCUUGCAGCUAGGGGUGGUUGCAACAGAGUGCUUUCCUUUGGAAUGAAACUUUUCUGGGAUAAAGUACUUUGCUUCCCUCCUUGGAUUCUGGCUGGAAUUCAAGUGCAAUGCCUGGUGACACAGCAGCCAUGUUGUAAUCAUGAAGCGGCUAGCUGUGUAGUAAGGCUGACAGAGCAGGAAGCUGGAAAGGACCCAGAGUCGUGAGGCUUUGGGCCUUCUUUAUAUGUUCAUAUAUAACAUUUGCAUGAAGAAGACACCCGCAUCUGUUUAUGCCACUGAUAUUCAGGGCUCUCAGCUGAAUACAAUUUUAACUGAUAUAUACAGGAAACGCAUAUUUCAAACAAAAUCUCAUGUGAAACUCCAUAUGGGUGGUUCUGGUUAAAGCAGUCUGGUAGGGAGGAAAAAGGGGACAUCGCUUCAUUGCUUGAAUUUCGGCUCCACUCCCUUUCCCUUCUCCCAGAUUUUGGGGGAUGCCCUGUGGAACCCCUCACUUUCCAUGGAACACAUCUUUAAGCCAGGAAACCACCCAUUCUUUCCCACUCUUAUUCUCAUUUUUAUUUUCUCAACUCUUUUGGGCAGGGGUUGAGGAGGGUGUCCUGUGGUUUGCAUAGAUGCCUGCUGGACUGAUCAGAGCCCUGGAUCCCAUACCUGGAGUCGGGAGCUUCCCCCAGAGCCCUGCAACUCCCACCCUGGUUGCUGUGCACGGCGGAAAGGGCCCGUCAGGAAACAGGAAGGGAGCCUGCUCCACUCAGGUCAUUUGUCCUAAUCCAGCUAAGGCACAGGCUGGAGAUCUCAGGGGAGUCCCUUCCCUGUGCCCUUAGGAACGCUGGCCCCACCUGGGUGCUGGUUUCACCACUUUGUUACCAAAGUCUUUGUCACAGACAGGUAUCGGGUGAGCUUACAGCUCAGCCUGCAGACAUAGCCCCAGGGCAGCAUGGCUGGACUGGUUGUGCACAGAUGCCUGCUGCGGGCUGUGGCUCCCCUGCGGGUGGAAGUCUUGGCCCCUGGACCUGGUAUUCGAGGUCUUCCGAGACAUUCUGCCCUCGGAAUGCUUGCCUCCCUAUUGAUCUGUCCUGAGUGGCUUGUUACUAUUUUUUAAUAGUCAUGUAUCAGUAGUUAUGUAAAAUGUGGCAAAAAUGAAUGACUGAAGAAAAAUGAGAUGGAAAAAGAAAAAA
ensembl:lncRNA